UACGAAGGGGGCUAGCGUUGCUCGGAAUCACUGGGCGUAAAGCGCACGUAGGCGGAUUGCUAAGUCAGGGGUGAAAUCCUGGAGCUCAACUCCAGAACUGCCUUUGAUACUGGCGACCUUGAGUCCGGGAGAGGUGAGUGGAACUGCGAGUGUAGAGGUGAAAUUCGUAGAUAUUCGCAAGAACACCAGUGGCGAAGGCGGCUCACUGGCCCGGUACUGGCGCUGAGACGCGAAAGCGUGGGGAGCAAACAGG
rnacentral:rRNA from 1 species